rnacentral:rRNA from 1 species
UAGGGAAUCUUCGGCAAUGGGGGGAACCCUGACCGAGCAACGCCGCGUGAGUGAAGAAGGUUUUCGGAUCGUAAAGCUCUGUUGUUAAGGAAGAACGAGUGUGAGAAUGGAAAGUUCAUACUGUGACGGUACUUAACCAGAAAGGGACGGCUAACUACGUGCCAGCAGCCGCGGUAAUACGUAGGUCCCGAGCGUUGUCCGGAUUUAUUGGGCGUAAAGCGAGCGCAGGCGGUUAGAAAAGUCUGAAGUGAAAGGCAGUGGCUCAACCAUUGUAGGCUUUGGAAACUGUUUAACUUGAGUGCAGAAGGGGAGAGUGGAAUUCCAUGUGUAGCGGUGAAAUGCGUAGAUAUAUGGAAGAACACCGGUGGCGAAAGCGGCUCUCUGGUCUGUAACUGACGCUGAGGCUCGAAAGCGUGGGGAGCGAACAGG